rnacentral:rRNA from 1 species
GACGAACGCUGGCGGCGUGCUUAACACAUGCAAGUCGAACGGAAAGGCCCUGCUUUUGUUGGGUGCUCGAGUGGCGCACGUGUGAGUAACACGUGAGUAACCUGCCCUUGACUUUGGGAUAACUUCAGGAAACUGGGGCUAAUACCGGAUAUGAGCUCCUGCUGCAUGGUGGGGUUUGGAAAGUUUCGGCGGUUGGGGAUGGACUCGCGGCUUAUCAGCUUGGUGGUGGGGUAGUGGCUUACCAAGGCUUUGACGGGUAGCCGGCCUGAGAGGGUGACCGGCGACGUUGGGACUGAGAUACGGCCCAGACGCCUACGGGAGGCAGCAGUGGGGAAUAUUGCACAAUGGGCGGAAGCCUGAUGCAGCAACGCCGCGUGCGGGAUGACGGACUUCGGGUGGUAAACCGCUUGCGCCUGUGACGAAGCGGGAGUGACGGUAAUGGGUAAAGAAGCACCGGCUAACUACGUG